rnacentral:ncRNA from 1 species
UACCUGGUUGAUCCUGCCAGUAGUCAUAUGCUUGUCUCAAAGAUUAAGCCAUGCAUGUCUAAGUAUAAACAAUUCUAUACUGUGAAACUGCGAAUGGCUCAUUAAAUCAGUUAUAGUUUAUUUGAUAGUACCAUUACUACUUGGAUAACCGUGGUAAUUCUAGAGCUAAUACAUGCGUAAAAACCCGACUUCUGGAAGGGUUGUAUUUAUUAGAUAAAAAACCAACCUGGGCAACCAGUUUUUUGGUGAUUCAUAAUAACUUUUCGAAUCGUAUGACUUUACGUCGACGAUGGUUCAUUCAAAUUUCUGCC